GAUGAACGCUGGCGGCGUGCCUAACACAUGCAAGUCGAACGGACAUAAUGAAACCUAGUGAUUUAUGUUAGUGGCGGACGGGUGAGUAACGCGUGGGCAACCUGCCUCAUACAGGGGGAUAACACUUAGAAAUAGGUGCUAAUACCGCAUAAGCGCACGGGAUCGCAUGAUCCUGUGUGAAAAACUCCGGUGGUAUGAGAUGGACCCGCGUCUGAUUAGCUAGUUGGUAGGGUAACGGCCUACCAAGGCGACGAUCAGUAGCCGGCCUGAGAGGUGAACGGCCACAUUGGGACUGAGACACGGCCCAAACUCCUACGGGAGGCAGCAGUGGGAAUAUUGCACAAUGGGGGAAACCCUGAUGCAGCAA
rnacentral:rRNA from 1 species